rnacentral:rRNA from 1 species
AGUGAACGCUGGCGGUAGGCCUAACACAUGCAAGUCGAACGGCAGCACAGUAAGAGCUUGCUCUUACGGGUGGCGAGUGGCGGACGGGUGAGGAAUACAUCGGAAUCUACUUUUUCGUGGGGGAUAACGUAGGGAAACUUACGCUAAUACCGCAUACGACCUACGGGUGAAAGCAGGGGAUCUUCGGACCUUGCGCGAUUGAAUGAGCCGAUGUCGGAUUAGCUAGUUGGCGGGGUAAAGGCCCACCAAGGCGACGAUCCGUAGCUGGUCUGAGAGGAUGAUCGGCCACACUGGAACUGAGACACGGUCCAGACUCCUACGGGAGGCAGCAGUGGGGAAUAUUGGACAAUGGGCGCAAGCCUGAUCCAGCCAUACCGCGUGGGUGAAGAAGGCCUUCGGGUUGUAAAGCCCUUUUGUUGGGAAAGAAAAGCAGCAGGUUAACACCCCGCUGUUCUGACGGUACCCAAAGAAUAAGCACCGGCUAACUUCGU